AGGUAAUUAGUUUAGUUUGGUAGAACAUUUGUUUUACACACAAAAAGUCAUUGGUUCAAAUCCAAUAUUACCUA
rnacentral:tRNA from 1 species